UCAGAUCUUGAGCCCAGGAUUCUAGAGUAUGUGACUCAUUAAGGAAGUGCUUCCAAGAGACUGGAGACAAGGCUGAAGAAGGAUGAGGAGAUAAGGAACAGUGAUACUUCAGAUUUCCAAGAGACUGGAAGAGGCUCACCCACACUGAGGAAGGCAAUCCACUCAGUCUACCAAUCCAAAUGCUAAUCUCCUCCAGAAACACCAUCACAGACACACCCAGAAUAACGUGUAGCCAAACAUCUGGGCAUCCCCGGGCUCAGUCAAGUCAACAUGUAAAAUCAACCGUCACAUGCCCCUGGUCUCCGUGCACGCACCACGGGCCCAGUACACGGUGUAUGAACGUGAGCUCAAGCUGGCCCAACAAUAAGGGAGGUGACGCUGGCCAGGCAAGAUGCUGAGUUCUGAAAGUGGUACCAGAGAAAGGAUUACAAUGACCUCACUCCAAAAAGAAGUUAGUGGUUUUUAGUCUUUUUUUUUUCCCAAUGAGUGUCGUCUUUUCACGCACAGACUAGUUUUUCAUUCCACUGAGAUCCAGAAGCCAAAGGAAACGACUGUGGCCUUUACUCUACAACAUGCUUUCUCAAAGGAGACUAUAUCCUCCCCAAUGGGGUGAAAAUUGGCUCUUCAGGGAGAAGUCAAAACAAUCUUAUGCUUUUUAUGUAUAUAGCACAGAUACACAUAAUAGUGCAUAAACAGAUACACAGUGUAUCUAUGGUGUUAAAAUUUCACGGGGAAAUAGGGAAAAAAAUGUCUAAAAUGGCUUAGCAAUAGAAUUUUUAAAAAGGUUGAGAAACAUAGUUCUAAAACCAUAAAUAUCUAAAGCUGGAAGGGAGCACCUCUUUCUUUGAAUAUCUUACAAAAGGCACCUCAAAGACCCAGAUGUUCAGAACUGCCAAGGUCACAAAGGGGGUUAGUGAACAAGCCUGGCAUAGACCAUGAAUUGUUCUGUCUUAGACCAAUGUAUGUUCCACUUUUUUAUGCAAAAAUAAAUACAUCCUUGGGGCGCCUGGGUGGCUCAGUCAUUAAG